rnacentral:tRNA from 1 species
CCCCAACUGGCUCAGUUGGUAGAGCAUGGUGUUUGCAACGCCAGGGUUGUGGGUUCGAUUCCCACGGGGGA